rnacentral:rRNA from 1 species
UACGUAGGGAGCAAGCGUUGUCCGGAAUCAUUGGGCGUAAAGCGCGCGUAGGCGGCCCGGUAAGUCCGCUGUGAAAGUCAACGGCUCAACUGUUGAAAGCCGGUGGAUACUGUCGGGCUAGAGUACGGAAGAGGCAAGUGGAAUUCCUGGUGUAGCGGUGGAAUGCGCAGAUAUCAGGAGGAACACCCAUAGCGAAGGCAGCUUGCUGGGACGUUACUGACGCUAAGGCGCGAAAGCGUGGGGAGCGAACAGG